ACUGUCACUGAGCACACAGGUCCUCACAAUGGAAUGGAGCUGGAUUAUCCUCUUGCUAGUGGCAACAACUACAGGUGUCCACUCCCAGGUACAGCUGCAGCAGUCUGGGGCUGAGGUGGUAAAGCCUGGAUCCUCACUGAAAUUGUCAUGCAAGGCUUCAGGCUACAACUUUGCCAGCAACUUUAUUAACUGGGUGAAACAGAGGCCUGGACAGGGUCUAGAGUGGAUUGCAAAUAUUUAUCCUGGAAAUGGUGUUACUAAUUACAAUCAGAAGUUCCAGGGCAAGGCCAAACUGACUGCAGACACAUCUUCCAGCACAGCCUACAUGGAGCUCAGCAGUCUGACAUCUGAAGACUCUGCCAUCUAUUACUGUGCAAGACACAGUGUUGCCAACCACAUCCUGAGUGUGUCAGAAACCAUGGAAGAGAAGGAAACUGGUUUUGGUUGA